rnacentral:rRNA from 1 species
GCUAACUGCAGUCGAAGGUAGCACAGAGAGCUUGCUCUCGGGUGACGAGUGGCGGACGGGUGAGUAAUGUCUGGGAAACUGCCUGAUGGAGGGGGAUAACUACUGGAAACGGUAGCUAAUACCGCAUAACGUCGCAAGACCAAAGAGGGGGACCUUCGGGCCUCUUGCCAUCUGAUGUGCCCAGAUGGGAUUAGCUAGUAGGUGGGGUAACGGCUCACCUAGGCGACGAUCCCUAGCUGGUCUGAGACGAUGACCAGCCACACUGGAACUGAGACACGGUCCAGACUCCUACGGGAGGCAGCAGUGGGGAAUAUUGCACAAUGGGCGCAAACCUGAUGCAGCCAUGCCGCGUGUAUGAAGAAGGCCUUCGGGUUGUAAAGUACUUUCAGCGGGGAGGAAGGUGAUGAGGUUAAUAACCUCGUCAAUUGACGUUACCCGCAGAAGAAGCACCGGCUAACUCCGUGCCAGCAGCCGCGGUAAUACGGAGGGUGCAAGCGUUAAUCGGAAUUACUGGGCGUAAAGCGCACGCAGGCGGUCUGUCAAGUCGGAUGUGAAAUCCCCGGGCUCAACCUUGGAACUGCAUUCGAAACUGGCAGGCUAGAGUCUUGUAGAGGGGGGUAGAAUUCCAGGUGUAGCGGUGAAAUGCGUAGAGAUCUGGAGGAAUACCGGUGGCGAAGGCGGCCCCCUGGACAAAGACUGACGCUCAGGUGCGAAAGCGUGGGGAGCAAACAGGCAUUAGAUACCCUGGUAGUCCACGCCGUAAACGAUG